rnacentral:rRNA from 1 species
AGCGAACGCUGGCGGCGUGCCUAACACAUGCAAGUCGAACGUGAAAGGGAGCAAUCCCAAGUAAAGUGGCGUACGGGUGAGUAACACGUAGGUAAUCUACCCCAGAAUCUGGAAUAACCGGCCGAAAGGCUGGCCAAUACUUGAUAGAGCGACGGAAUCCGUAAUUGGGUUUUUCGGGAAAGGGAGCCUGUAAAAAGGCCUUCGUUCUGGGAUGAGCCUGCGUCCCAUCAGCUAGUUGGUGAGGUAAAAGCUUACCAAGGCAAUGACGGGUAGCUGGUCGGGGAGGACGGACAGCCAAACUGGAACUGAAACACGGGCCAGACUCCUACGGGAGGCAGCAGUGGGGGAUCUUGCGCAAUGGACGAAAGGCUGAAGCAGGAACGCCGGGGGGGUGGAGGAGGCCUUCGGGUUGUAAAGCUCUGUCGAGUGGGGCGAAAAUGCUUGGAGUUCACAGCUCCAGGAACUGACGGUACCACUAAAGGAAGCACCGGCUAACUCCGUG